rnacentral:rRNA from 1 species
CUGGCCGUAAACGAUGUAGACUGGGCGUUUGUGGGGUAAAACCCAUGAGUGCCGAAGCUAACGCGAUAAGUCUACCGCCUGGGGAGUACGGUCGCAAGAUUAAAACUCAAAGGAAUUGACGGGGGCCCGCACAAGCAGCGGAGCGUGUGGUUUAAUUCGAUGAUACACGAAGAACCUUACCAGGGUUUGACAUACAAGUGGUAGUGAAACGAAAGUAGAACGACCCUUCGGGGAGCUUGAACAGGUGC